rnacentral:rRNA from 1 species
UACGGAGGGUGCAAGCAUUAAUCGGAAUUAUUGGGCGUAAAGGGCGCGUAGGCGGAUGGGAAAGUCAGAUGUGAAAUUCCGAAGCUCAACUUCGGAGCUGCAUUUGACACUUCCGAUCUUGAGGAAUGGCGGAGAAAAUGGAAUUCCACGUGUAGCGGUGAAAUGCGUAGAUAGGUGGAAGAACACCUGUGGCGAAAGCGGUUUUCUAGCUUAAUCCUGACGCUGAGUCGCGAGAGCAAGGGGAGCAAACAGG